rnacentral:rRNA from 1 species
UGUGGCCACACCAGCCUGAACACGCCCCAUCUCGUCUGAUCUUGGAAGCUAAGCAGGGUCAGGCCUGGUUAGUACUUGGAUGGGAGAAGAGGAAUAUUGGUGUUUAAAUAA